UACGUAGAGUGCAAGCGUUAAUCGGAAUUACUGGGCGUAAAGCGUGCGCAGGCGGUGAUGUAAGACAGGUGUGAAAUCCCCGGGCUUAACCUGGGAACUGCAUUUGUGACUGCAUCGCUGGAGUGCGGCAGAGGGGGAUGGAAUUCCGCGUGUAGCAGUGAAAUGCGUAGAUAUGCGGAGGAACACCGAUGGCGAAGGCAAUCCCCUGGGCCUGCACUGACGCUCAUGCACGAAAGCGUGGGGAGCAAACAGG
rnacentral:rRNA from 1 species